rnacentral:lncRNA from 1 species
GCCCCCUCCAACUUGGCCUUGAACCCCUCCAGGGAUGGGGCAGCCACAGCUUCUCUGGCCAACUUGGGCCAGGCUCUCACCACCCUCACAGCAAACAAGUUCUUUCUAGUAUCUAAAUCUCCUCUCUUUUAAUUUAAAACCAUUACCCCUUGUCCUGUCGCUCCCCUCCCUGAUCCAGAGUCCCUCCCCAGCUCUCCUGGAGCCCCUUUAGGGACUGGAAGGGGCUCUAAGGUCUCCCAGGAGCCACAUCUCCCUCACCCCCACCCCGUUCCCGUGCCACCAUUAUUUCCACGUGCCCUAAAAUCAGCUUUUCCCAAGCAGCAAAGGGCUGUCUGCGGCUGCUGUUUCUCUUGCUGCCUGGUGACCCCGCAUCCCCUGGGGACAGCAGGGUGCUGGGAGGUGCACCGAGUUCCCCAGGCCUCUGCUUGCCCAUCUCCCUGCCCCUGCACCACCGAAGGGGCUCACCCCGGCUGGCGCAGGGGGGUCAGCACAGCCCCACACUGACCCCCCCUUCCUAGCAAAGCCUCCCCCCACGCUGAGCCUGGGGCCACCCUGGGGUGCCCCUCUCUGGGGCUGCGGGAGUUUCCCUGGCUGUAAUGGGCGUUUUGUCCUUGCUGGGGGACAGCUCGAGCAUUCCCCAGGCACCUCGAGGGGCUCCAGGACCCUGGGGGGGCCAUGGGCACUGUGCAGCCCUGGCAGGGCACAGACAGAAAGGCGGGGGGGGGACACACGUGAACCCUGGUCUGCCCCAGCCCCCCUUCCCUCCUGCUUUUGGGCAGAGUCUGCACCCCACCAGAGGUGCCAAGAGGCACCUUGUGCUCCAAAACAAUUUUGUUGGGUUUACUCUGGCUUUAUCCUGGCUUUAUCCUGCUCCCCAGGGAGAUCCCACCAUGGCAUGACCCUGUGCAUGGGGCAAACCCCCUUCCCAUCGCCCUGCUCGGGGCACUGGGCCGAUGGGGGCAAUCCCAGUGUCUCUGCCCAUGUGUGGGGUGACAGGCUCAGGGUUUUCCCAGGAAAUCCCAUCCCAAGGGAGCAAAUCCGUGCCCAGGAUGGAUCCCAGCCCCCUGGGCUGCUGCUGGUCCCAGGGACGGGCUGGCAGCGGGAUGGAUGCUCACCCUCCCCGCAGGGGGAGGAAGGAGGAUGGCGGCAUCUGUCCUGCUGUGUUUCAAGAUGAGCUCCUUUAUGACACACUUUCCUGGGCAGAGAGACCCCAAAGCAG